rnacentral:rRNA from 1 species
GAUGAACGCUGGCGGCGUGCCUAAUACAUGCAAGUCGAGCGGACAGACGAGGAUCUUGCUCCUCGGACGUGAGCGGCGGACGGGUGAGUAACGCGUGUAUAACCUACCUAUAUGACUGGGAUAACUUCGGGAAACCGGCGCUAAUACCGUAGAAUAUAUUGAACCGCAUUGUUCAAUAGUAAAAUACGGUUUUUCUGGCACGUAUAGAUGGAUCUGCGCCGUAUUAGCUGGUUGGUAAGUUAACGGCCUACCAAGGCAACGAUGCGUAGCCGACGUGAGAGACGGGUAGGCCGCCUGGGAAGGGAGCCACGGACAAGGGGACUAAGGGACGGCGCAGUAGGGAAUGUUAGGCAGUGGGCGAGAGCAUGACGGAGCAAGGCGGAGUGAGAGAUGACGGUGUUCGGAUCGUAAAACCCUGUUAUUAGGGGAGAACAAAUGUGUAAGUAAAUAUGCACGUAUUGACGGUACCUAAUAAGAAAGCAACGGCUAACUACGUG